rnacentral:tRNA from 1 species
UGGGCUGAGGUUGUGGUAGAACACUCACCUAGUACAUGUGAGGCCCUGGGUUCGAUCCCCAGCACCACAU